rnacentral:lncRNA from 1 species
ACAUGCCAUAGAUUACCAAGUUUUACAAAACUUAGAAGCGAAACCUACCACACAUUCACCAAAACACUUAGAACAUGUCAAGUUCCACACAAUUGAGACAACAAAUUAAAAUUGAAGAGUUUGAACCCACACCUAAUUUGCGAUUAGAGACGUCUAGAACUCGACUCGUAACCAAGAAACUGAAGCUCUCCGAAAACCACAACACAACCAUUUUCAAAAAAAAAAGAAGAAAGAACAAAAAAAGAAAACAAAGAAAGAGGGUGAGGAGAACGUCCAGAAAGAAAGAAAAAAAUAAACACUAAGUAAAGAAAAUAAUUAUCUAAACCUUAAAAAAAAAAUGGUCCCUCAAAACGCUACUAAAGACUCGAACCCAAGACUUAAAGGCACACUAACACACUAUCAACCACCAGACCAGC